rnacentral:rRNA from 1 species
UACGGAGGAUGCAAGCGUUAUCCGGAAUGAUUGGGCGUAAAGCGUCCGCAGGUGGCUGUGUAAGUCUGCUGUCAAAGAGCAAAGCUCAACUUUGUAAAGGCAGUGGAAACUACACGGCUAGAGUGCGUUCGGGGCAGAGGGAAUUCCUGGUGUAGCGGUGAAAUGCGUAGAGAUCAGGAAGAACACCGGUGGCGAAGGCGCUCUGCUAGGCCGCAACUGACACUGAGGGACGAAAAGCUAGGGGGAGCGAAUGGG